ensembl:lncRNA
CUUUGAAAUGAGCAUGUCCAUGUGGCUUAGGCUAUGUCUCAAUCAGCUCCUAGUUCAGUAGUCAGGGCAAUGACCAAGGAGUCAACCAUUUUAAGGCCUGUCUCAAUCACAAAAUCCUGCCGGUGCACUGGGACAUUCGCUCCCUAUAAAAAUCCCACAAUGCACACAAAAAACAGGGAGCAUCGAUGCUCACAAUGUUCCCUUACUGGAUAUGACAUGCUUUCUGAAUGGUGGACAGACUCUUAGCCAACUUCCAUUUACAAAUGUCCCCAUUCUGCCGCCAAAACAGCAUUACAAGACCUCUGAAGGUGUGCUGUGGUAUCUGGUACCAAGAUGUCAGCAGCAGAUCCUUUAAGUCCUGUAAGUUGUGAGGUGGGGCUUCCAUGGAUCGGACUUGAUUGUCCAGCACAUCCCACAGAUGCUCGAUCUGAUUGAGAUCAAGGGAAUUUGGAUCCCAAAUCAACACCUUCAACACUUUGUCAUGUUCCUCAAACAGUUCCUGAACAAUGUUUGCAGUGUUGCAGGGCACAUUAUCCUGCUGAAAGAGGCCACUGCCGUUAGGGAAUACCGUUGUCAUGAAGGGGUGCACUGUACUUGGUCUGCAACAAUGUUUAGGGUCACGGGGAACCUGGAGCCUAUCCCAGGGAGCAUCGGGCACAAGGCAGGAUACACCCUGGACAGGGUGCCAAUCCAUCGCAGGGCACAAUCACAUACACAUUCACACACCCAUUCAUACACUACGGACACUUUGGACAUGCCAAUCAACCUACCAUGCAUGUCUUGGGACUGGGGGAGGAAACUGGAGUACCGCAGCAUGAGAACAUGCAAACUCUGCACACACAGGGCCACAGUGGGAAUUGAACCCCUGACCCUGGAGGUGUGAGGCGAACAUGCUAACCCCUCAGCCACCGUGCGCCCCAUGUGAAGCAAUGUGAUGAUAUAAAAUUAAAAAUAUCCAUAUAUGGCCAUGGCCUUUGUUUCGACUCAGGACAGCUGUUAUUUGCUGCUAUGUGGACGCUGUACACAACAAUGCUUCACCUUUGCAUGUUUGCUGAGAAUAAGCUAAUGGUUGAGAGGCAGGAAUUUGGCCAAUAGUUGCUGCAAGCCUUUUAUAAUCAACCAGUUGGUGUGUUGGAAGGUGGGAAAUACAGAGAGAGGUUGAAGCAAUGCAAAUAUGCGUACACAUGAUGCAGUAUUAGACCAUAAGUACAUCAUAAUGAAACUAAAACAGAAUCGAGUACAAUUUCUCAAAUUUAGACACUUUUUUUAAGGUCCGGGAAAAAGAGGACGUAUGGUCACCCUAACAAUUUUCUCUUUCUCUUUCUCAUUUGUAAGUCGCUUGGAUAAAAGCGUCUGCUAAGUGAAUAAAUGUAAAUGUAAAUGUAAUGUAACAAAAGCAUUUCAGAGAACAAUUUAUGUUAAUUUCUACCAAAUUAACUUUGCACAAAAUUAAUUUGCGCAAGCACCAGGAGGUUGCUCAUGUGAGUCACGACUGGCGAGAGAGAACCAGAACUAUAAUCAAGCAGCUGUCUAUACUGUGUUCUGUCAAAAGUUUCAUUUCUUUGGUUUUAAAUGAAAAAAAAAAUUGUAAUCCUGAUAGUCUUACCAUUUUUUUUUUAUUUAUUUUUUUUUUUUCACAAAAUGUACCUGCAAUCUGAUUCCUUUGUUUUUUGACAUAAUUUUAACAGAUUACAGUUACCAUUUUUUUGUAUCCUGAUUACGUAACGCCAUUACAUGUAUUCCGUUUCUACACAAGCCUGGUGAUAAUAGGAACUAAUUUGUCUCAUAUACAUUCCACAACAUUACAUGUACUACUAUAAACUGUUAAAGAGCAUGACAUGUUGUUUAUUAAUAAAUACAAAUUGCAAUCAUUGCCUAAUUGCUGUGGUACACAAGGAAAAAGACACGUCUGGGACAUCAUGUUACUGGAAAAUAAUCAACAUCAAGGUAGUAAGAGUAUCUCUCAUGCUUUGUGUCGGGCCACAUCACACCACCCCACCAUUAAUUAUUUUCCUAUUACAGUAUGCUCUGUAGUAUGUUAUACUCUAUUAUUCUGUAUUUAAUUCAUUUAGGCGUUCAAUUGCAAGAGGAAUAAAGAAAAUAUGCUGAGGUUCAAUUUGGGAUUAGGAAACCCUCUCCAUUUCAGUAUGAGUGUUUAUGGUUUCCUCUAUUAUACAUUAAGAUUUAAAUGUUCAGAAUCUUUAUAAAUGUGAUUUAUAGAUUUCACAGAUGUUCCUUUAUUUCUCACAAGUAACAUAAAUGGUCAAAUUUUGUAUGAUGUUUUCGAUUACAGGAUACACACACAUUUCAUCUUUAAAAUUCUGGAAUAAAAUAUUUUACAUAAAUGGUGAAGCAGAGAUUAUCUUUUGUCAUGAAAACACAAUUGGAGAUGCCGUUAUUGGCUUCAAAAGUAUAGUUCAAAAUAGAGAAAAUAUGUAUUUAACUAAAAACAGUGCGACAAUGGACAAGGAUUUUGCUGUCCUAUUAUCCUGAGUCUGAGAGAUGAGGAGUGUGUGUUGUUUGGACCCCCCACACAUACUUUUUGGGGUAAGGGCUUCCUGGCUACUCAGUUACAGAACAGCAAGCCCAGACCGCAAAAAGAUAUGUGAAGGGCAUAAGCAGAGGAGAGAUGUGAGGAUAUGCACAGAUCUUUCACAAGUCCACAUCGGAUCUGAAAAAUAGAAAGCAUGCUUACAGUUACUUCAUCUGUUACUCUGCAUGUUCUGUGUUUCUUGGCAUUACAGGCUUUUGAAUGCAUCAAUAUGCUGACAAGUAACUAGUUAGGAGGACUGCACAAUAUUUCUCUUGUUAGUUGGUUUUGCAAUAUUGUCCAUUGUUGUCUGUGCUGACAGUUGGCAGAAGGCUGACGUAUAAUAAAUCCUUAAUGAUUUCUCUGAUACUUCUUCUGAAGAAAUGAUCGCGCAACCAUGGGGGCAUUAACUACAGUAUAUGCAGGUAAUUUGCAUGCUCUUGAUUGGAACAUCCAGGAAAUGGACUUAAGCAGGUGCGUAACCCAUCUCUUAAUAUGUGUAACAUUACCCAUGUAAAUGCUAAUCAUGAAAUCAUGAACAUUUUAUGAGCAGCUAAAUGUUGUGAUGAAUUAAAUCAUUCAUGCGAGCCAACAAUUAUAAAUCAUUUUGGUCAAAAUACUGCAGGCCGAUAUUUAACCAUGUUUCGUUUCACCAAUAUGUUAUAAUAAUGCAAGGUAUAGUGAUAUAGUGUUAUGUACUGUAGUACAUUAUCCAAUAAAAUAGCAAUAGAAAAGUGUUUGCAUCACCAGGAUUUGAACUCACAGGAUUUGAUCUCAUGAAAAAAAAGCCUCAUCCAUUCAAGCCCAAGAGUGCAUAAUUAACCAUGUUUGCUGGAUUGGAAGAAAGCCAUUACUCUCUCCACUGUUAAUCAGACUGUGUGAGUCUCAUAUAUGCAAAAGAGGGUAGACAGUGCUUUCGUCCAAGUGUGUUUGGCCUCUCUGUGGUGUAGCAUGAGCAUCCGUUUGAAAAUAUUCGGUGACUGGCUUCACGGGUCUCAGAGGAAGCACAUGCUAGCCCUCACCCUUCCUGGUUGGUAGCUAUUGUGUGGGAAGUGGCAAAUGACCAAUUUGUUGGGGGAGGGAAUGAGAUAUCAAAAUCCAACAAAACACCUUUUAAGAAAUGCAUAUUACUUGACUAUAUGGAAAGGUAAUGAACAAAGGUUAUUACAUAGAGUUGCAUUGUGAUGAUCAGUUUUGCUUCAAAUUAUAUUAUGGGAAUUUUUUCUUCCUUAGAAGCUUUGCAUAGAUAUCUGUGGGUCUCUUGAUAAACUGAAAUGAGCGGUAGUAGAGUGUGCAUUCUGAUAUCAUUUUUUUAAAGAAUUAAUAGUAUUUUAAUGAAACUAUGAAACUAAUGAGAAAUCAGGUUCGCGUUCAAGCAAAAGUCUGAAACACAGAGGUUUCAAAUCAGAAAUGCUUUUUUUUUUAUGAAAGAUAGCAGACUACCAUCCAUCAAUAGCAACAAGUAAUAUGUUAGAUAUUCAAAUUGAUCAAGGAAGACAAAUUGUAUAAAUUGAUUGUCUAAAUAUUAGUACAUAUCCACUAAUAUUUCACAAAACACAAAGCCCAGCUUAUAUGAAUAUGAAUAUGAUUUAAAAGUGCUGUAUGUAAGGUUUUAAAAUGGUUUUUGGAAGAUAGAAACAUGGAACUCUAUGUAUUAAAGAAAUGGAUCUGUAAACCUGAAUGAUGUGACUGAUUGUAGUACCAUUUAUAAUACGUCAUUGGAUCAGGAGUGCAUCUUUCGUUGACAGAGCCAAAACAUCUCAGGGUUAUAAGGUCUGAUUUGAUUAGAAACUCCAGUAAAACAUGUUUGAAGUAGCUAAUUAAGCGAGUGUUAAUGUUAAUGUUCACUUUUCCAUAUAGUGUCAUUCCUAUAUGGAAUGACCCCCACACACAAGAGGCUGUGAUCUGACAAUGUAGUAAAAAAUAGACUACAAAUGGGACUACCAUAUACUGUUAAAAAAAAGUGUUAAUGUGGGAAACCUGAAAGAUUUUUUUUAAAUAUAGAACCAUGGAACAGCGGUUCUUAUUUAGUGGAAUCCCUUUUAAAGUUAAGAAAUCUUAUCCAUUCUUUCAAGUCUUUCUAUAUUCUUUAUAUUUUUCAUUUUCUGAUUCACCACUCUUUAAUGUAGCAUUUUUGUUUCUGUAUAUUUAACAGUAUAACUAUGUAUGCAUGUGAUGAAUGUGGUCAAUUUGCUUUAAUACGAAAUAUCAUUGCACAUCUACAGUAUUCCACAGAGUGGUGUAUUAAGUUUUCAUAUCAUAAUGUAGACAACCACUCAUAAACAGAUAAAUAAAUAAUAAACCAUUAAAUAAAAAGAGAGAAAAACAGAGUGCAUGUCUGUCUGAUAGAGGCAGACAUGCACAUCUGAACUGUUCCCUGAUGAACCUAAAACGUGUGCUUUUGCAUAUUGCAUAUUUUACUACAACUGCAGGGGCGUUCCUUUAGAAGUGAAUGAUUGAUUGUUGAGAACGUGUUAUAAGUCAUACUUUCUGGGUGCGCCUACUUUUCCAGCCUGCUUCCUUCCAGAAGUAUCUGUUGUUAUUGAUGUAUUUAUUUAUGUAUUUAUUCAUUUGUGUACAGACUGAUCAGUAUGAAAAUUGUUACUGCAUUACUUUUUUGUUGCAUUUAUUUCAGAAACUCAGCUAACAUCUCAGGUGACAACUCUAAGCUAGUAGUGAACAUGUGAUGGAUCAGUGUUAUUGUGUCAUUAAAUGUAACAGCCAAUCAUGUUUCAGCAUGCAAAUACAGGCCAUGCAACACUGGUAUACCAGUGGUUAUGGGCAUUUCUAAUAUGCUUAUUAAUGAAAUCUGAAUUUCUUUUGUCCACUUUUCUGCUGUAUAAGUCUUUUGAUUUAUUUUAUUUUAUGUUUUUGGUAGAACAGCUAUAUUUCCAACAUCAAAUUUAUGUGUGUGUUUGUUGUAUCUUUAAUGGAUAUAACAAAUAUUAAAAAUAGUACUUGACUCAUUGUCAGUUAACAGUGUGGGAUUAAAGUAUUGUUCAUAUUUCUAAUAAUGGAUUGAAUAUAUAUAAUUGAAUAUGAAUAUAUUGACUAUGAAAAUAAGUUUAAGACAUAGGACUAUUUAUACUAUAUCUAUUACCAUUAAGGUUUCUUUGGACUUUCCCUCUGUGGGAACCUUUAAAGGUUUUAUGUUGAACCCUAUAAUUACACUACAAUCUGCAAUUAGAACCUUUUUAGGCAUUUAAUUCUUGAGGAUAUGUAUAUGUAUAUGUUUACAGCCAUCUGCAUGUAAAGGAGAUUGCUGUAACAAUUCUUAUAAAUAUAUAAAACAUAAGACAUACAAGGAGAUUUUAAUGUACUCAUAAUGUAUUCUGUCCACAAAAAAACUUAGUUUAUCAAUCUGGUUUCAUUAGUAUUUAUGACAGUGUUUGUAACAUAAUAGUUUCUCCUCAGAGCUCAGUUAUCUAAAUAGGAAGAAUUCUCUCUUUGAGGUGUAGUUGAAUGAUAAUAGAAAUAAUAAUAAGAUCAUGUAGACUGGAUGUAAUCAGAAUGUAAUUUUGAUGAAAUAAUCGUGGUUCAUGGUGGAUGGUGAAUCACAUUAUUAUAUAUAUUUUUUUCUUCUGAAAUGGUGGCUCUAGUUUGGAUGAUUUCUUAUUCUAUUUUACAUCACACAUCCAUGAGUGUAAAUGUGAAUCAUUUCUAAUUAAAGAAUUUUACGAACACAGAAACAUUCAGGUUUGGUUGUUUUUAAAGAUGUUCAUGUCUUCUAGCAUAAGCAUCAUUAAUUAACGUGAGGAACAUGGACUGGAUCGGUACUAGACGUUGGUUUAGAACGACAGGUUUCACUCGGACAGGUGCACCGUAUGAAGAGCGAUGAGAUGAUCCUGCACUGAAGGAGACUGUAGGCCCAUAAUGAUGUAAUUAACACAUGGAUAACACUCAUUCAGGAAGGAUUCCCAGAUGUGAUUAGGCCUGUUUAAGGUUCAAUAAUUUGUUCAGUGAUUAUUUUGACUUUUACAGAAUGUAGAUCUAUAAAAACAAUUUUAAAACAG